rnacentral:tRNA from 2 species
UAGGCGGAAGCUUAUGCUUGAGCGCUUAGCUGUUAACUAAGAGGUUGUGGGAUCAAGUCCCACUCGUCUAG